rnacentral:rRNA from 1 species
AGUGAACGCUGGCGGUAGACCUAACACAUGCAAGUCGAACGGCAGCACAGUAAGAGCUUGCUCUUACGGGUGGCGAGUGGCGGACGGGUGAGGAAUACAUCGGAAUCUACUUUUUCGUGGGGGAUAACGUAGGGAAACUUACGCUAAUACCGCAUACGACCUACGGGUGAAAGCAGGGGAUCUUCGGACCUUGCGCGAUUGAAUGAGCCGAUGUCGGAUUAGCUAGUUGGCGGGGUAAAGGCCCACCAAGGCGACGAUCCGUAGCUGGUCUGAGAGGAUGAUCAGCCACACUGGAACUGAGACACGGUCCAGACUCCUACGGGAGGCAGCAGUGGGGAAUAUUGGACAAUGGGCGCAAGCCUGAUCCAGCCAUACCGCGUGGGUGAAGAAGCCCUUCGGGUUGUAAAGCCCUUUUGUUGGGAAAGAAAAGCAGCAGGUUAAUACCCCGCUGUUCUGACGGUACCCAAAGAAUAAGCACCGGCUAACUUCGUG